GAAAAAACCCAAAAGGCCAUAAAGAGGCAUGAAAUGCCAGGCCUUGGCUGGAAAAUCUCAAAACAAGAACACUCUUUGAAAAAGUAGAUGACUUCAGUAAGACAAGGCAAAAGCUGAAGGACUACAACAGAAAUGGAACGGCAGUCCUCCAGUCAGAGGAUGAGGGCUCCAUGGCAAAAAGGAGAAGAAAAGCGACACAUUACCCAGGAUUUGAAAACGGCAGUACUGACUCUGAAACUGAGCAGACUCCAAAAAGAAGACCAGAGUCUCGGCCUCGGCCUCGGCCUCAACCUCUCCCUAUUAGCGCUACCCUUCCUAGUCUCCCUCCAGCCCCCCUCUCGGACAUCGCAGUGGACAUGGGUCAGGAGUCUCUGGACAACACAGGACAGGGAACCUAUACAGACAUAAGCUGGAAUGUGAGGAGGGAGUCAGACCCCUUCAAUGUAAUCAAUAGCUCAGCGCACCAGUCAGCACCACCUCAACACUCAGUGCACCAGUCAACACCACCACCACCUCAACACUUGAGUCCAGUGUUUGACAUUAAUAUGGGCUUCCCCUAUUCACAUGCCAGCGGUGGUGGCGAGCCUGGAGGUCACCUCCUCUUCAAGCCAACCUUCAGAGUUGGCCAUGAAACAGGGCCAAUUCCUUGCACACGUGCAGUGGGCAAAUGCGCACUGACAGCAACUGCAACAGAAGCUGAAAUAUGGAGGCAUGCUAUAAGGUGGUUUGCCCUUUCGGCGGACAGGAGAGGAGGGCGCCAGGAGAUACUGGCGCGUCAGCAGCAGGAGCAGCAACAGCAACAGCUGCCACAGCACCCAGCUAGUGAUUUUGUUUAAGUGCAUGUUUUUUUAUUCACGUUGUGUUUAUAGCCUGUGCGUUUUUUUAUCCAUUAAUUCUGUGUUUGUUGUUGAGUGUGUUUUGUGUUAAUUGUUGACUUUGUUCAUGACUUUGUUGUUCAUUUUUUAUAAUUAAAUCUAUGUAUUCGUGGUCAUUAAUUCUGUGUUUGUUAACUUUGUUCACGUUGUUUUAGUAUGCGUUUUAAUCAUUAAAACGAUUUAUUUCAGCUAUAGCCUAUAGGCCUACGCAUUGCUCCAACUGAAACUAGCCUUUAUCAAGUCAAGUCAAGCUUUUUAUUUAUAGCCAAGGCCUUGUAGUGAAAAUGUUUUUCUGGACAUUUUCACAGUCUGUGAAAAUGUAGGCCUAUGCCGGUAGCAUAGGUUACUAUGAUACCCUAACUGACAAAAAUGCCGAAAAUAAGGCAAAAGGACAAUCCAGUGGUGAUUUAAGCGGAUUCGUAACACAUCCGGCACAGCUCCGGUAGGCGGAAUCGUUUCACGCACCCGUUACGCAUGUGUAACAGGAUGAUCAGGCGGUGCUGGAUCGGCGCUGGCACAUAUCCGCAACAACCCCUAAAAACAGACCAGAAACGGCUUCGGCCCGAUGUGCGUUUGGACUCAGGAACGAGUCCGUGAGGCGGAUGCGGGCCAGACCCGGCUCUAUCGUUUUGCGGUUGCGGCCCUGUUCCGUUACAGCGUCCAGUGGCUAUCUGGG
ensembl:lncRNA